UACGAAGGGGGCUAGCGUUGCUCGGAAUCACUGGGCGUAAAGGGUGCGUAGGCGGGUUUUUAAGUCAGAGGUGAAAUCCUGGAGCUCAACUCCAGAACUGCCUUUGAUACUGAGAAUCUUGAGUAUGGGAGAGGUGAGUGGAACUCCGAGUGUAGAGGUGAAAUUCGUAGAUAUUCGGAAGAACACCAGUGGCGAAGGCGGCUCACUGGCCCGGUACUGACGCUGAGGUGCGAAAGCGUGGGGAGCAAACAGG
rnacentral:rRNA from 1 species